AUGCUGUCCACUGGCCACCAUAUUCAAACCCAAGGCCAGAUUCUGUGCAUGCAGUAUUCAUCCAGCAAAUCACCUCCAGGAGACCCAGGCAAUGGAAGCCAAAGGGUGUGGACGCCACCCAGCGUAGGGAAGGCCUACUCAUUGCCAGCAUCCGGACAUCCAUUGGUCCCGUUGCUCACUGAAGGGGGCCCGGGCCCCAGCGAGGCAGCGGCGCGGGUGGGGCGGCUGUGGGGACAGCGGCUCCUCCGCCCCGAUCAGGCGCGUUCCCGGGCUCAGGCCCAGCUCCCGCCGCUCUCCGGGCGCCCCUGCCCCGGCGAGCGCAUGGCAGACAGCUGCGGGAGGCAGGCACGGCAGUGGCGGAGCGGGGGCUCCUGGCCGCGCGCCGCUUCUCUGGGCUCUGAGCGGCUCCCAGCGCCGCCUUCUCGGGCGGGCACGGCCCGCGGUGACGUCAGCGCGACUCCCCCGCUCCCCCCUUCACCCCGACCAGUGCGGAAUGGAGGGGGCGGAGGCAGGCUGUGAGGGGCGCCCAGCCGUGUGCUUUGGCCUUUCCUCCCCACGCCCCGCUUGCCUCCCAGCUUUUCCCUGGGAGUCGCAACGCCAUUCGUCCCCUCUCUCCUUCCUGCGCCGCCAGACUCACCCGGAGCCACCAACGACCUGGGAGGUGAUGGCAAGCAGCGGGUUGGAAGCCUCGCUGGCAGCUCCAGACUCAGGGAUCCGGGCUGCUUUGGGAAGAAUGGAGAGCUGAGGGCAUGAGGGGCGUCCACCUCCGGGCUGAAAGGGGGCGUCUUGUCUUCACCCCCAGCAUAGGUGUUGGUUAUGCUGGGGAUAUCCACGCUGGCUUGGCUGGUGCCGGGGGGGCCCCCGUGUGAGCUCAGAAGGGAUCUUUUAGCUCGGGAAAACAUGUCCCAUUCGGAGCUGGGAUGCCCUCCAGGCUGGGUCCUGCUUCUCCAAGACCCAGAGCAGCCCCGCGGCCCUCCUACCCGCCAUCUGCCCGAGGUUGUGCACCUGCAAACUCGCGGGGCGGACGGCGCCGCGGGGCUGACUGCGCCCCGGAGCCGCUGUCCAAAUGCUGAAUCUGGCCUCCCCUGGACCGGCUCCCGAAGUCCCGCUCCACGUUUCCCGCAGGGGCGGGCAAGGGGUUCUGGGACACACAACGCGGAGGACCCAGGAAACUUUGGGGCUCCAAGAUGAUAUUGGAAAGCUUCAGGAUAGGGGGCGAUCGGCCGAAGGGAGACAGAAGCCAAGAGAGCAGGCAGAGCAGCACUCCUGGCACGCCGAACCACGCGCCACUGGUGACUCGCCCCGGGUCCCCUCCGCCUGCGUGUGCUUCUCCCACUUCCACAGCAGGGGAGGUCCCUAGGCUGAACUUGUCAGCAGGUCUCACCAUUCAUCACGAGCCAGCCAGACAGGCCAAGUUCAUGAGCAAUACUGUUAACCCCUUGCAAGCCAAGCGCCUUCCACAGGGGGAAGCCUCCUGGCCAGGGAGUGUUCUCUAGGAUUCCAGAGGCACCGCCUCCCACGAACGUGGCAGCCACUUCUCCUUUCUUCUUUUCGGCUCCUCUCCUAACCAUUUAUUCCAUCAUUUUAUUUACCCUUUUGGUUUCCACAGUCUUUCAAGUUCCUCCUCUUCUAAGUUAGUUUGAUACCAGUAUAACUGACUGCCUUUUAAAUGUCUUCUUUUCCUAUGCUGUGGCUGUGCUCAUUGUGGAAAAAUUAGAAAAUUUAGAAAAAAAUGAAAUAAAAUAAUAAUUGGCACUAUAGUUUACACCUAGAGGCCUGACUUUAAAAUAAAAAAAUAUAUUCUCAUAGAAGAACCUAGAUUGCUGGUUGUGUGGGGUGGGGAGUGAAGAAGGGGUUGAGAGAGAGAACCCAGUCUUUCUGAAGCGGAUGGGGAAGGAAAAACAAAAACAAGCUCUGCGAAAGGGCUCAAAGAGGAGGCCCUGUCCUCCUGUUAGAGGAGCCAAGGAGGGAAGCAGCGCCAUGUAUGGUUAGACAUAGGGGCGCAGACACCCCCUCCACUCACUGGUCCCUGUUCUAGCUCCAAAGCUCUAGGGAAGCUUCUCCUGGCCUUGACCGUGUGUGUGUGUGUGUGUGUGUGUGUGUGUGUGUGUGUGUGUUGUGGGAGUAGGUGCUUCCUGCCCUGGGCGAAAGCUCAGUCCUGCUCCUGAACCCCAGUCAUCUCCUGGAGAACUUUAUCUGACUCUGCUUGAGGUCUGGUAGACUUAGGCCACCCCUCCCCCAUUUCCUAUUGAAUUCCUGGCGUCUGGUAGCUGGCGGCAACUAGGGCGACCUACCAACUUUUCCCCUGGGCAUUUUCUCGCCCCCUUCACCCCCCAGUGCUUUCUUUUCUUCUCCCAGCGCUCCUUUUGAAAGGAGGCACCCAGGCCCAGAACGUGUUCUGCAGUUUAACUACUUCCAAAUUCUUUGUUCAGGUCACCCCGGGACUCCAUUGUCCGCUAUUGAGAGCGCGGACAGGCCGCCGGGUGCGCCUCUGCCAUGCAGGCCUGAAUCCAUUAGGCCACCGAUCCAGCCCCUGCAGCCCAUUGACGCGCCUCACUCGCCGGGCGCCGGCGGCCCCCCUCCCGUCCCCUCCGCUCCCACCCUCAGCUGCCUUUUGGACUCCGCGGUGGAGUCACAGAACGCUGCGGGUCCGCGCGCGGGGGUUAUUUGGGUCUCGCUCUGUCUUGAGGCACUGGGCGCGGUGCAGCCUCGGAUGAUUCUUGUGGGCUCUGUCCCAUCCCGCAAGCCUCUUCCGGGGUCCUGCCCAAAUUCUACUGCUUGACCGCUGGGUACUACUUGGACCUGCAGGGCAGGUUUUGAGGGGGCUGCAGCCCCAACCUCAGGAAUGGGGGUGGGGGAAGAACAGCCAGCGACAUCCUUCCUCCGACUUCUCCAGCUUUCCAGCUGCUCCCCUAUAGCCUGGAUUUCUGUUCCUCUCUUUCCUCCAGGCCUGCGCCCUCGAGCUUCCGUAGGGUCAAGCCUCUCCUGAGCCGGGGGAAUGAAAGGGGGGCCAUCCAGUUUCAGGGGGUAGCACAGCAGGGAGGGCCGGCCGGUUCCUGCCCCAAACACGCGCUCAUGUCGCCCUCGAAGGUCGGUCUUCUCAGGAGGGUAACUUUCCCCCAGCUCACUGGAAAAGAGGCAAGAGUCGCUCUGGCCUCAGAUGUACGUCCAGGCUUCCAGGGCGCCAGGGUACGGCUGUGGGGAGGAGGCUCAGUCCGCCCCUGCAGCCUCCUCCUCUCCUGCCUCAGGACUCAGGGAGACGCAGAGCUUGGGAGUCCCCAGGGGGCUCAGCUCUGAGGUGCGUGCCUGGGGAAAGUCGAGGUUCAGAGGAGCAGAGCUCCCAGAGACAGUGUACAGACAACGAUGGCUUGCUGUUGUGUAUCUUUUCUCGGUGCCAGAAGGUUGCCUUACCCCGUAGCGAGCCUGUUCCUCCUGCUCUGGGGUUACUGGGUCACUGAGUGCAAGGCGAACAUCGACGACCAGCCACCGGGCUUCUCGAAAUCACUCGGGCCUCUGCUCGGGCCCGCCUUCUCCAGUCUGUGAAUCGGCCAAACCCUUCCCGAAAGCUAAAUUCCAGGAGAGAGCCGUGGAGGAGCCACGGGGACCGGUGCGGAUACCAGGAACGGCGGCGCGGGGAAGCUUGGCCCAAGAAAGGGUGCGGAUGGGGGUGCAGGGCGCGGAGGAGCGGCACUGGAUGGCGGGCGCCACUCCCCGCCGGCCGAAGAGGGAGGAAGGGAGGGAGAGGAGGAACGGGUGGUCUCCGCCGCACCUUCUCCGACCGCUGGGCCAGGACCGCGGGGCGCGGGACCUCGUGGAACAGCCGCGGCCUGGAUCUGCUGCGAGGAGCCAGCUAGCGCCCCCUGGCGCCUCCGCCGAACCCUCACAAUGCCGCCGCCGCGUCCCCCAACCCGCGGGAUUCCAGACCUGAGACUGGGGAGGCUGGUGUCCGCGCGUCCCCGAGACGUGGCUGGACUACGCCAAGCCUCUUAGAGGGCGUAGGAGCUCCUGAAGGUCUCCUGCGCUCCAACCCAUGUCCUGCACUCGUCCUCCCCACCCGCCCCGAGUGCUCCAGUCCGUGGUGCUG
ensembl:lncRNA